rnacentral:rRNA from 1 species
UGGCGAACGGGUGAGUAACACAUGGGUGAUCUGCCCUGCACUUCGGGAUAAGCUUGGGAAACUGGGUCUAAUACCGGAUAGGAGCCAUCUUUAGUGUGGUGGUUGGAAAGUUUUUUCGGUGUAGGAUGAGCUCGCGGCCUAUCAGCUUGUUGGUGGGGUAAUGGCCUACCAAGGCGGCGACGGGUAGCCGGCCUGAGAGGGUGUACGGCCACAUUGGGACUGAGAUACGGCCCAG